rnacentral:misc_RNA from 1 species
GAGUCGAGGGUACCCGAAGAUGCUAGUCUAACCGCAAGGAGGACGGUGGCGAAGGUACGUUUGGUAAGGAGGGUGAAGUCGUAACAAGGUAGCCGUACCGGAAGGUGUGGCUGGAUCACCUCCUUUCUAAGAGAAAGGAAAUAGGACUAUUAAAAAGUGUUGUAUACUUUUGUAGUCAUAGACUCUUGAAGUACACAAGAGUGCUCUUUGUUUUAUUCUACUUUAUCUAUUCUUUCCUGUUCUUCUCUUUUUUAUAUUGACUGGGGUCUGUAGCUCAGUUGGUUAGAGCACU